rnacentral:misc_RNA from 1 species
GAUGAAGAACGCAGCGAAAUGCGAUAAGUAAUGUGAAUUGCAGAAUUCAGUGAAUCAUCGAAUCUUUGAACGCACAUUGCGCCCGCCAGUAUUCUGGCGGGCAUGCCUGUCUGAGCGUCAUUUCAACCCUCAUGCCCCUAGGGCGUGGUGUUGGGGAUCGGCCAAAGCCCGCGAGGGACGGCCGGCCCCUAAAUCUAGUGGCAGACCCGUCGUGGCCUCCUCUGCGAAGUAGUGAUAUUCCGCAUCGGAGAGCGAUGAGCCCCUGCCGUUAAACCCCCAACUUUCCAAGGUUGACCUCAGAUCAGGUAGGAAUACCCGCUGAACUUAAGCAUAUCAAUAAGCGGAGGA